rnacentral:lncRNA from 1 species
GAACUGAACCAGUUCUAUCUGGCCCUCACGAUAAGUGCUGACGACGACGAGCCUACAGUUUUUCUGGCCGUCUCGGUGGGCCGAUGGAUGUAACAAUGUGCGGCAGCCCGCAGAUCAUUACGCAUGCACGCACGUAAGCACGCCCGGAUAAGACAGCGACGAAACAAUGCUGGAAUAUGGAGUGAGGACACCGCGGCCGCCGUUGGGUUCCGUCUCCCGGCCGAAAGCGACCGGCGAUCGGGCGAUCGAUCCCGUCCCCGCCGUGUGCGUGAUGCGGCUCUACGCGAACCGAGCGGACCCCCGUCCGUGUUCCAGAAAGGAAAUGAGAUGGCAGCCCAAAUCGAUCCAUCCUCUUUUUAUCUGCUUGUUUACUUGCUUAGGCUUCCUAUUACCACCGCUUGGCCCAUCUGACCUGCCUUCCUAAUGCAUUAGUCGCUUAAUUGGCAUCAGUGACGCGGCCUUGAAAGGGGGAUGGAUGGUUUCACUUGUUAGUACUAACUUUUCUAUGCAGUUUGUAGGCGCCAUUAGGUGGAAAGUCUAAAGGCGCCAGCCGUCCAGCACACUGCCUGCUAUAUGCGGUUUAUUACUACUAGUACUAGUAAAUACCAAAUUGAUCAUAAAUAAAAUCGGAUGGUUUUAGCAGCUGCAACCAAAAGGAAAAGGACUUGUGGGCACCUGCAGGCUGCAGCCGGAGGGGAUUAAACAUUCCGCCGACGGCCCGUGUUUCACGACCGGGCGGCUUAAACAAUAUCAGUUUGAGUUUUCGCCUCUUGCACAUGAAGGCUUGGAUUAAUGAUUGGAUUGGAACUAAUUGGAGUACUAGUACUUUCUUCUUAAGAAAAUAUAAGAUGGUUUAGAUCAUUACUUAUAUUUCUU